rnacentral:rRNA from 1 species
UACGGAGGGUGCGAGCGUUAAUCGGAAUUACUGGGCUUAAAGCGUGCGUAGGCGGUUAUUUAAGUCAGAUGUGAAAUCCCGGGGCUCAACCUCGGAACUGCAUUUGAAACUGGAUGACUAGAGUUUUGUAGAGGGUGGUGGAAUUUCCAGUGUAGCGGUGAAAUGCGUAGAGAUUGGAAGGAACAUCAGUGGCGAAGGCGGCCACCUGGACAAAAACUGACGCUGAGGCACGAAAGCGUGGGGAGCGAACAGG